rnacentral:lncRNA from 1 species
CUGUUGUCCAGACUUGAGUGCAGUAGCUCAAUCAUAGCUCACUGCAGCCUUGAAUUCCGGGCUACCACACCCAGCUUGUUACUGUAUUUUUGAAUGUCUGAAGUGAAGAAUGAAUCUAAGUGGGGACUGCUUGGCUCGGUCAUUCAGUUACAUCCACAGCACAGAGAAACUGAGGAUUCUUUGUUGAUGAGGUGUCUGGAUCGUAUCUAUUCCAGAGUAAAGUCAUGAUGGCUUUAUGACGUUCUGAGGUGCGUUUUGCAGGAGGGGACGUUGUUGAGUUCCAAACAGGUGAGGUAUUGCACACUAGCAAACACAUGAGAAGAAGGCGGAGGAAUUGGGAGAAAAAUAAAAAGAAUGCAGCAGGCCAGGUUAGCAGGAACGUUAAGACGGUGACGGAGAACAGCAAAGCCUGGAAGCAAGCCGCCGUGGAGAAGGAAGAACUGUGCUGAGGAACAUUAUGAAGAAUGCUGCUACAAACAUU